GAUGAACGCUAGCGAUAGGCUUAACACAUGCAAGUCGAGGGACCGGCGCACGGGUGCGUAACGCGUAUGCAACUUGCCUCACAGAGGGGGAUAACCCGUCGAAAGACGGACUAAUACCGCGUACUGUGAGAUAGGCAUGCGUCCCAUUAGAUAGUUGGUGAGGUAACGGCUCACAAAGGAAACGAUGGGUAGGGGAACUGAGUGGUAGAACAACCAUAAUGGUACUGAGAGACGGACCACGCAACUACGGGAGGCAGAAGUGAGAAAAAUUGGUCAAUGGGCGAAAGCCGGAACCAGCCAAGUCGCGUAGAGGAUUACUGUCUAUGGAUUGUAAACUGCUUUUGUAGGGGAAUAUGUACCCUACGAAUAAGCAUCGGCUAACUCCGUGCCAGCAGCCGCGGUAAUAC
rnacentral:rRNA from 1 species